UCUGGUAGAUUGAUAUCUUCACUUUUAUUGUUCUUUUGUAUCCAUUAUGGGUGACCUGCAUGUAAUCAUUACACAUGCCUAAUUGGUUUAAUUAGGUUUCUAUAAGUUUACCAGUUCUGCAAUUCUAUAAGUUCAUCAGUUUACACAUGCCUAUUGCUAUUCUGGUAAAAACCAAUUUGUUUAUGGAUUGAAACUAAUUAAAUUGCUUCAUGGUUUUGAUUUGUUACUGUCAAAUCUCCUACUUAUGAUUUCUCGUUUCAAGAUAUAGAUGAUGCUAGUAAUUCACCGACAUUUAGUAUGCAACAACGCUAUGUAGAAUUUGUUAUCUAAUACUAUCAGGAUAAUUAUAUUUGGAAGUAGAAGGCAAAAUUUCACAAUACAAUUCUACGGCAGGUGAGGGUUCAUUGAUUACUCUAGAUUCCAGAAGGUAGUCUAGAAUACCCUUUUGAUUUCAUUAGCUUAAUUAUGUCAAACUGAAAAGGUAGGACUUCCAUCUCUGUGAACUGUAAGACCAUUACUGAGCAAGUGUUCUUAUAGCUAAGACCGUAUGUUGGCUUAGCAGUUAGUUUAAAGUUAAGGAUGGAGUUGAGAGUUUAACCAAAGAGCGUAGGAGAUUAGUCCUAAUUACUUUUUAUGGACUAAGAAACUUGAAAGCUUCAGACCCUCUUCGAUAGUAAUCUUAGAGGUUCAUCCGGUGAAUGAUUCUCUUCAGUUUGUAUUGUUGGAAAAUUUUGGUCUGCUAUAGAGCUAAAGUUAACUUUGUUUAGCACCAUAAACCCCACCCUUUUGCAGCAAACGACAUGGAGAGUGAGCUCUCUGAAUUAUUGCUUCUUGUUCUGGUUUAAAUUUGGUGAUAUUGAAUUAUAAAAAUGUAGGCCAAGUGCAUGAUUGUGUUCUGUUUCAUUGUGGCUGGUAUCUGUUCUCCAGUCAAUGGGUACACUCAACGUGUGUGUCAGGUUUUGAUUAACUUCAUUGAUACCUCCAAUUGUGUUUAACCCGGUCAAAUAAUAAUAUGGAUAUAUUUUGUUGACCAAUACAUCAGAAUGGUCUUUGUGUUCAAUUUGAUCUAUGAUUAUUUACUGGAAGCCACCUUUUUUUCCAUAGUGGACUAUCAAAUUAUAGGUUCCCAAUCAGGAACUGAAAUGAAUGAGGAAAAGCCUAUGUAGGCUACUUGCCAAAAGUGUACUUUUAUACCUCUUAAUCUUCCUUCUUAGAUCUAUAACCAGAUUCCUGCUAUUGGUAAGGUGGUAGCUUUCUUCUGCUGCAUAAAUUAGUAGUAGUAAUAGUAAACAAACCUAUGUUCAGAUUGGAAACAAGAUAUUUUGAAAUAUUAUGCAAUAAUAAUCUCACUGAAAAUUUUCUUAAUUUCGCCUCUUAGCUUCUGUGGAAAGUUAACAAGCUCAGUAAUCUUUUUCGCUUGGGCAGGAGGAACUAAAAUCUGUUGAAUGCCUCCAACCUGCUUCCCGAUGCUGCAAAGAGUAUGAUUGCUGAUUUUGUGACUGCGAAUCCAGAUCCGUUAAUACCAACAAAUCGAAAGAAACGACGAUCCUGUUGCUUUUGGAAAUGGCUCUGGAUUUGCGAAAGCUUGUUUGUACCUGCGUAUAGCUUCUGGUCUUCUAGUACCAGAAGCCAAGCUGUUUCUGCAUUUGGAGGAUUUGCUUUAUGUGGUUAAAGCCAAACCCCAUGAUCGCAGGAUGAUGUGUGACUCACCGAUUGUGCAAACUAAGUUGAGCCAAAGUGAUUCUCUCUGUAAAUAUUCUCAUUCUAGCAUCUCAUGUGAUUCUGAAUUUCAGUCAGAGGUUGUGAAAGAUGACUCGUUGUCAAAGGUAUUGAACGACUUGGAUCCUGCAAUAAAAGUUCAUACCCGACAAGUUCCAGCUUGAAUAGGAUGUACAAAGAUUGGAACAGCAGCUGCUUGAAGAAAUAGAGCUACGUGCUAUUCUGGAAAAUGCAAUUGAGAAAAAUGCUACUAAAUUCUC